rnacentral:rRNA from 1 species
AGAGUUUGAUCCUGGCUCAGGAUGAACGCUGGCGGCGUGCCUAAUACAUGCAAGUCGAGCGGUAACACUUCGGGUGACGAGCGGCGGACGGCUGAGUAACACGUAGGAACGUACCCCAAACUGAGGGAUAAGCAUCGGAAACGGUGUCUAAUACCGCAUGUGCUCUUCGGAGUAAAGCUUCGGCGGUUUGGGAGCGGCCUGCGCAUGAUUAGCUUGUUGGUGAGGUAAAAGCUCACCAAGGCGACGAUCAUUAGCUGGUCUGAGAGGAUGAUCAGCCAGACUGGGACUGAGAACGGCCCAGACUCCUACGGGAGGCAGCAGUAGGGAAUUUUCCACAAUGGGGGCAACCCUGAUGGAGCAACGCCGCGUGCAGGAUGAAGGCCCUUGGGUCGUAAACUGCUUUUAUCUGUGAAGAAUAUGACGGUAGCAGAUGAAUAAGGAUCGGCUAACUCCGUGCCAGCAGCCGCGGUCAUACGGAGGAUCCAAGCGUUAUCCGGAAUUACUGGGCGUAAAGAGUUGCGUAGGUGGCAGAGUAAGUGGGUAGUGAAAGCGUCCGGCUCAACCGGAUAUACAUUAUCUAAACUGCUCAGCUAGAGGACGAGAGAGGUUAUUGGAAUUCCUAGUGUAGGGGUAAAAUCCGUUGAUAUUAGGAGGAACACCGAUGGCGUAGGCAGAUAACUGGCUCGUUCCUGACACUAAGGCACGAAAGCGUGGGUAGCAAACAGGAUUAGAUACCCUGGUAGUCCACGCUGUAAACGAUGGAUGCUAGCUGUAUUCGGUAUCGACCCCGGAUGUAGCGAAGCUAACGCGUUAAGCAUCCCGCCUGUGGAGUACGGUCGCAAGACUAAAACAUAAAGGAAUUGACGGGGACCCGCACAAGCGGUGGAGCGUGUUGUUUAAUUCGAUGAUAAGCGAAGAACCUUACCCAGGCUUGACAUCCUUGGAAUUUCUACGAAAGUAGAAAGUGCCUUUGGAACCAAGUGACAGGUGAUGCAUGGCCGUCGUCAGCUCGUGUCGUGAGAUGUUUGGUUAAGUCCAUCAACGAGCGCAACCCUUGUGAUUAGCUGAAUUUUUCUAAUCAGACUGCCCUGGUAACAGGGAGGAAGGAGGGGAUGAUGUCAGGUCAGUAUCUCCCUUACGUCUGGGGCUACAAACACGCUACAAUGGCCGGUACAAAGGGCAGCCAAGUCGCGGGACGGAGCAAAUCCCAUCAAAGCCGGUCCCAGUUCGGAUAGCAGGCUGAAACUCGCCUGCUUGAAGUCGGAAUCGCUAGUAACGGUAGGUCAGCUAUACUACCGUGAAUACGUUCCCGGGUCUUGUACACACCGCCCGUCAAACCAUGAAAGUCGCCAAUACCUGACGUGCCAGCUUGUCUGGCCCUAAGGUAGGGGAGAUGAUUGGGGUUAAGUCGUAACAAGGUA